rnacentral:rRNA from 1 species
GCUUGCUUGUUGGGGUUGUAGGACACUCUAUACGGAGUUACAAAGGACGACAUUAGACGAAUCAUCUGGAAAGAUGAAUCAAAGAAGGUAAUAAUCCUGUAGUCGAAAAUGUUGUCUCUCUUGAGUGGAUCCUGAGUACGACGGAGCACGUGAAAUUCCGUCGGAAUCUGGGAGGACCAUCUCCUAAGGCUAAAUACUCUCUAGUGACCGAUAGUGAACCAGUACCGUGAGGGAAAGGUGAAAAGCACCCCGGAAGGGGAGUGAAAUAGAACCUGAAACCGUGUGCUUACAAGUAGUCAGAGCCCGUUAAUGGGUGAUGGCGUGCCUUUUGUAGAAUGAACCGGCGAGUUACGAUUUGAUGCAAGGUUAAGCAGUAAAUGUGGAGCCGUAGCGAAAGCGAGUCUGAAUAGGGCGUUUAGUAUUUGGUCGUAGACCCGAAACCAGGUGAUCUACCCUUGGUCAGGUUGAAGUUCAGGUAACACUGAAUGGAGGACCGAACCGACUUACGUUGAAAAGUGAGCGGAUGAACUGAGGGUAGCGGAGAAAUUCCAAUCGAACCUGGAGAUAGCUGGUUCUCUCCGAAAUAGCUUUAGGGCUAGCCUCAAGUGAUGAUUAUUGGAGGUAGAGCACUGUUUGGACGAGGGGCCCCUCUCGGGUUACCGAAUUCAGACAAACUCCGAAUGCCAAUUAAUUUAACUUGGGAGUCAGAACAUGGGUGAUAAGGUCCGUGUUCGAAAGGGAAACAGCCCAGACCACCAGCUAAGGUCCCAAAAUAUAUGUUAAGUGGAAAAGGAUGUGGCGUUGCCCAGACAACUAGGAUGUUGGCUUAGAAGCAGCCAUCAUUUAAAGAGUGCGUAAUAGCUCACUAGUCGAGUGACACUGCGCCGAAAAUGUACCGGGGCUAAACAUAUUACCGAAGCUGUGGAUUGUCCUUUGGACAAUGGUAGGAGAGCGUUCUAAGGGCGUUGAAGCAUGAUCGUAAGGACAUGUGGAGCGCUUAGAAGUGAGAAUGCCGGUGUGAGUAGCGAAAGACGGGUGAGAAUCCCGUCCACCGAUUGACUAAGGUUUCCAGAGGAAGGCUCGUCCGCUCUGGGUUAGUCGGGUCCUAAGCUGAGGCCGACAGGCGUAGGCGAUGGAUAACAGGUUGAUAUUCCUGUACCACCUAUAAUCGUUUUAAUCGAUGGGGGGACGCAGUAGGAUAGGCGAAGCGUGCGAUUGGAUUGCACGUCUAAGCAGUAAGGCUGAGUAUUAGGCAAAUCCGGUACUCGUUAAGGCUGAGCUGUGAUGGGGAGAAGACAUUGUGUCUUCGAGUCGUUGAUUUCACACUGCCGAGAAAAGCCUCUAGAUAGAAAAUAGGUGCCCGUACCGCAAACCGACACAGGUAGUCAAGAUGAGAAUUCUAAGGUGAGCGAGCGAACUCUCGUUAAGGAACUCGGCAAAAUGACCCCGUAACUUCGGGAGAAGGGGUGCUCUUUAGGGUUAACGCCCAGAAGAGCCGCAGUGAAUAGGCCCAAGCGACUGUUUAUCAAAAACACAGGUCUCUGCUAAACCGUAAGGUGAUGUAUAGGGGCUGACGCCUGCCCGGUGCUGGAAGGUUAAGAGGAGUGGUUAGCUUCUGCGAAGCUACGAAUCGAAGCCCCAGUAAACGGCGGCCGUAACUAUAACGGUCCUAAGGUAGCGAAAUUCCUUGUCGGGUAAGUUCCGACCCGCACGAAAGGCGUAACGAUUUGGGCACUGUCUCAACGAGAGACUCGGUGAAAUCAUAGUACCUGUGAAGAUGCAGGUUACCCGCGACAGGACGGAAAGACCCCGUGGAGCUUUACUGUAGCCUGAUAUUGAAAUUCGGCACAGCUUGUACAGGAUAGGUAGGAGCCUU